GACGAACCGUGCGAACGUUGUUCGGAUUCACUGGGCUUAAAGGGCGCGUAGGCGGGUGACCAAGUCCGGGGUGAAAUCUUCCGGCCUAACCGGAAAAGUGCCUUGGAUACUGGUCGCCUGGAGGGAGGUAGGGGCACGCGGAACUCCAGGUGGAGCGGUGAAAUGCGUAGAUAUCUGGAGGAACAUCAGUUGCGAAGGCGGCUCUCUGGACCAGCACUGACACUGAGGCACGAAAGCGUGGGGAGCAAACAGG
rnacentral:rRNA from 1 species